rnacentral:rRNA from 1 species
UCUGCUCAGGAUGAACGCUGGCGGCGUGCCUAAUACAUGCAAGUCGAACGCACAGCGAAAGGUGCUUGCACCUUUCAAGUGAGUGGCGAACGGGUGAGUAACACGUGGACAACCUGCCUCAAGGCUGGGGAUAACAUUUGGAAACAGAUGCUAAUACCGAAUAAAACUUAGUGUCGCAUGACAUAAAGUUAAAAGGCGCUUCGGCGUCACCUAGAGAUGGAUCCGCGGUGCAUUAGUUAGUUGGUGGGGUAAAGGCCUACCAAGACAAUGAUGCAUAGCCGAGUUGAGAGACUGAUCGGCCACAUUGGGACUGAGACACGGCCCAAACUCCUACGGGAGGCUGCAGUAGGGAAUCUUCCACAAUGGGCGAAAGCCUGAUGGAGCAACGCCGCGUGUGUGAUGAAGGCUUUCGGGUCGUAAAGCACUGUUGUAUGGGAAGAACAGCUAGAAUAGGAAAUGAUUUUAGUUUGACGGUACCAUACCAGAAAGGGACGGCUAAAUACGUGCCAGCAGCCGCGGUAAUACGUAUGUCCCGAGCGUUAUCCGGAUUUAUUGGGCGUAAAGCGAGCGCAGACGGUUUAUUAAGUCUGAUGUGAAAGCCCGGAGCUCAACUCCGGAAUGGCAUUGGAAACUGGUUAACUUGAGUGCAGUAGAGGUAAGUGGAACUCCCAUGUGUAGCGGUGGAAUGCGUAGAUAUAUGGAAGAACACCAGUGGCGAAGGCGGCUUAUCUGGACUGCAACUGACGCUGAGGC